GGCCGGUUAGCUCAGUUGGUUAAGAGUGUGGUGCUGAUAACACCAAGGUCCAAGGUUCAAUCCCUGCACUGGCCA